rnacentral:rRNA from 1 species
CCCUUAGAUGUUCGGGGCCGCACGCGCGCUACACUGACACACUCAACAAGCUUAUAACCUUGUCCGAGAGGUCUGGGAAAUCUUUGAAUAUGUGUCGUGAUGGGGAUAGAUCGUUGCAAUUCUCGAUCUUCAACGAGGAAUUCCUAGUAGACGUAGUUCAUCAGACUGCAUCGAUUACGUCCCUGCCCUUUGUACACACCGCCCGUCGCUCCUACCGAUUGAAUGCUCAGGUGAGCCAUUCGGACUUUCAUCAUGCUGGUUUCCAGUUUUGAUGAAGGAAAGUCUUGCGAACCUUAUCAUUUAGAGGAAGGAGAAGUCGUAACA